rnacentral:rRNA from 1 species
UACGUAGGGCGCAAGCGUUGUCCGGAAUUAUUGGGCGUAAAGAGCUCGUAGGCGGUUUGGCGCGUCUGCUGUGAAAACCUAAGGCUCAACCUUGGGCUUGCAGUGGGUACGGGCAGACUAGAGUGUGGUAGGGGAGACUGGAAUUCCUGGUGUAGCGGUGAAAUGCGUAGAUAUCACUCGGAAGGCCAAAGGCGAAGGCAGGUUACUGGUACGCAACUGACGCUGAGGCACGAAAGCGUGGGGAGCAAACAGG